UUAUUUUCUUCUCCUCCGCUUAAUAAUAUGCUUAAGUUCAGCGGGUAACCUCGCCUGAUUUCAGGUCUG